ensembl:lncRNA
AUUAUUAUCUAAUUCACUGUUUAUUGUGCGCCAUGUGUUUAUUUGUCUUGCUCAUGGCUUCUGUUUGUUACUGUUGUUUCAAUGGCUUGUUCUAUUUCAGCUGCUUACCCAUUGUUUUGUGUGUAGUGGUAGAACAGAUGAGGGCCUUCACAGAGCGCAGUGUGUGAGAGACAUGUCUGAGGGGAGCAGAGCAAGUCUUGCAAUGAAUGGUAGUAAUAGGAGAGUGAGUGACAGUACCAACACGUAUGAACGCAGCUGUGGUCCUUGUAGCUGUUUAAUAGUGGUUGAGUAGUGCUCCAAUGUGUCCCUCAUCUUCCUCACCUCACCGAAGAGCGGGCUUCAUGACGGCUUCAACAUAGGUGCGCACUGGUGGACGAUUACCAUGAUGGUGUGAUGGCCCGGAUGGUCUACUUGCAUUGCCAAUUGAAUUGUACAACACUCCGAGUCACGUCUGUGCCACAUCUUUGCUGAAGCGACAGGGUGAAGUGGAGAAUGGGACUGUGUGGUCCAACUCGUCUGAAUCCUCUGAUGAUUCAUCAAGUCCAGCCUUGGCUCACCCGACACAACGCCUUAUUGCAUCAAACCUGCUGCAGACUACUCUCACCAAUCAGCUGUCACUCAGUCCUCACAAAUCCAGUGCAUCCACUCCAUCGCUCUCCUCUAACCAUGAGGAGGAGGAGUCAGAGACACCUGAGGUUUUCUGUUUAAACGAUACAGUGCCUAACGGUCACCUUCAGACACCCCUCUCUGACUGUAAAGUGUCUGACAGAGCAUCCCUCCAGUCUGCCGACCUCUCAGAGACCUCUGUAGACCUGUGCUGCUCCUGUCCGGAUGUGUCUGAGUCCCCCACCCCGUUGGUGGACAGUUUGUCUGAGGUCAGCUGUGAUCAGCAAAAAGACUCAGUAUUAGAGAGUACAGAGACAGAUGUGGUGACAGGGGAAUUUACCGAAGGACCACUAGAAAACUACGAAGAGGAGACUAAAGAGAACGAGCAGCCAGCACCCUCUGAGGAUAUGCACCACGCUGAGAAGGAUGAGGAAUCUCCAGGGGCUCCUUUCCCAACAUCUGCAAGUUUCAACCAAGAAGUGGAAACAGCUCUGGAAAGUUUUGACUUCCUCAACUGUUCUGACCUGGAGGAAGAAGAGAAUGAGAAAGAUGAUGACAUUCAUGAAGAGGUCAAACAAAAGGAAGAGGUUGUACAAGAAGUGGACCAAAUUCAGUCAGUAGAGGACCAUAACGAAUCCAUAGACGAGACUGCAAAGGAUAAAGAAAAGGAAGAUAUUUUCUCAGAAGGAAGUGAUGAAGAGGUGGAUGGUGAUCUAAAUAUAAUUAUGGAGGCUCCAGAAGGAUUUAGGAACUCUGAUGAAGACCGUUAUUCUGAAUCACAGGAGUCAAGUGUUGCUGACCUGCAGGAUCUGGGUCAGAUUGAAAUGCCAGAGGAACCACAGACAUCCGACCAAGAAAAGGGAGAGGAGCAACAUGAGGAAGCAACGUCUCAUGAUCAGGAGGAGCCCUCAGCACCCAGCCAACUGGCUACAACUGUCUUCUAACGAUUGGAGGUGGACCAUAGCUAGCUCUCUGAUCUUCUCAAGCCAAUUGUGCAGUGUGUCUCAAGGCCCAGCGUGGUCCCUCUCACUGGUCAGACAAACAGGCUCCCACUUUAUGAUGGGGUUUGUGCAUUUAACAGAGUUUGCCUUGUUAUGACCAACUCUGGCCUCAGCUGUGCUCAAUAACCACCAAACACAAGAUGUUCCCACGUGUCCUCAUCUUUUCAAUACUCCCGUCAUGAUGCCUCCUUCAAGGAUGAUUAGUUUACUCAUUUACAAAUAGUCUUUGUUUUGUGCUAGUCCGCUAAACAAAAGGUUAAGCAUUUCAGGAAUUGGCUCAAGGAGCCUUGUAUUUUGGUUUUUAAUACAAAGCAUUUUAAAAGUUUGUUUUAGUUUUUCUUUCAAAAAGCACUGGUUAGAAGCUAAAAAAAAAUUCAGUAUUUUGAGAUAAGACAUGUUACUGUUUGCAGUGUUACGGUGGCUUAUAUCUGGCUAUAAAGAGAUUUCAUGAGCAUUGUUUGCCUCAAUAUUUUUAAUGAAGUUACAUUGCCACUGACUUGCCACAUUUAAAGCUGUCCUCUUGAAAACCACUUUUUUAUUUUAGAAAUGUUGCCAUUAUUCCUCUUUUUAUGUUUACGGGCACAUUAUGGACAACAUGAAUAUACAACACUCCAAUGCUGUGCUGUCUAAGGUCAUUCAAUCUUUUGCAGUGAAAAUAUGUAUCUGCAUGUGUAGUGGCCUCACACUGCCAUUGUGUGUAAUCAAAGCUCAAAUCAGCUGUUUGUGUGUGUAAGCUAAAGCUAAGGCUCCAGUCCAAGGGAGCCAUCAGGUGCGUGACUAUGUACUGUGUACCUGCCUCUAGAGGGCGCAAUAUUAUGUUUGAGCUUCAUUAUGCUAAACGUGCCCUAAAAAGCCUCUUCUCUCAGAAAGUGCCUCACGUGAUACAUUUAGAGGGUUUAUGCCAUGGCAGAGGAGACCAAGCAAAGAGAACAGUGUUUAUUUUGACUAAGAGUGUGCACAAGAAAUAUUUACUGUUUCAUAUAAAAGAAUUGUGUAUGUCUUGAAGUGUUAAAAUGUUUAUGUUCUGAAAUGUCCAAACUUUAUAAAGGUUUCUUUAAAAC